AACCUCCGCAAUGUGAGAAAUCGCGACGGGGGGAUCCCAAGUGCCAUUCUUAACGGGAUGGCUUUUCAUUAGUGUAAAGAGCUUUUGGAAUAAGAGCUGGGCAAGACCGGUGCCAGCCGCCGCGGUAACACCGGCAGCUCUAGUGGUAACAAUUUUUAUUGGGCCUAAAGCGUCCGUAGCCGGUUUAAUAAGUCUCUGGUGAAAUCCUGUAGCUUAACUGUGGGAAUUGCUGGAGAUACUAUUAGACUUGAGACCGGGAGAGGUUAGAGGUACUCCCAGGGUAGAGGUGAAAUUCUGUAAUCCUGGGAGGACCGCCUGUUGCGAAGGCGUCUAACUGGAACGGUUCUGACGGUGAGGGACGAAAGUUAGGGGCGCGAACCGGAUUAGAUACCCGGGUAGUCCUAACUGUAAACGAUGCGGACUUGGUGGUUGGGUGGCUUUGAGCUGCUCCAGUGCCGAAGGGAAGCUGUUAAGUCCGCCGCCUGGGAAGUACGGUCGCAAGACUGAAACUUAAAGGAAGU
rnacentral:rRNA from 1 species